rnacentral:snoRNA from 1 species
CCUAUGAACUCCCCUGGUGAAGAGAGAUGAUGACCUAAAAAUCAUGUUCAAUAGGAUUACACUGAGG